AUAAGAACUAAAAAUAAAUUUUUAUGUCUUUAAAAAUGAGAGGUUUUUUUUUUUUUUUUGGCUUUUGGAAGGUGAGUAUCAAAAACCUGUACUUAAUGUUACCUUGGAAUUAUUUCUAGAUGUUUCUUAUAUCCUUUUGUCCCAAGUAAAAUUAUUACCUUCUCAGUGCGUAGUUUUUCUUAUUUAUUACUUCUAGUACCAAGUGUAGAGCUAAGCGUAGAGGAGACGCUUCACAGGUGCGCAUUGUCGUGAUUGCAGACGCCUGCCUGUACUUGUGGGGUUUUUCUCAGUUUUAGUACGUGAUGACUUUUCUUUCUAUAACAGGUAUUUGAAAUGGACAUCGCUAAACAGUUACAAGCUUAUGAAGUUGAGUACCACGUCCUUCAAGAAGAACUUAUCGAUUCCUCUCCUCUCAGUGACAACCAAAGAAUGGAUAAAUUAGAGAAAACCAACAGCAGCUUACGCAAACAGAACCUUGACCUCCUUGAACAGUUGCAGGUGGCAAAUGGUAGGAUCCAAAGCCUUGAGGCCACCAUUGAGAAGCUCCUGAGCAGUGAGAGCAAGCUGAAGCAGGCCAUGCUUACCUUAGAACUGGAGCGGUCGGCCCUGCUGC
rnacentral:lncRNA from 1 species